rnacentral:tRNA from 1 species
GAGGGUAUAGCUCAGUGGUAGAGUGCAUGCCUAGCAUGCAUGAGGUCCUGGGUUCAAUCCCCAGUACGUCCA